rnacentral:tRNA from 1 species
GGAAGGGUGGCCGAGUGGUUUAAGGCAGCGGUCUUGAAAACCGCCGGGGGUGCAAGCCUCCCGUGGGUUCGAAUCCCACCCCUUCCGCCA